ACGGAGCGACGCCGCGUGUGGGAAGAAGGCCUUCGGGUCGUAAACCACUGUCGAAGGGGACGAUAAUGACGGUACCCUUGGAGGAAGCCCCGGCUAACUACGUGC
rnacentral:rRNA from 1 species